ACCAGUUUUCCUGAGGAUGCCACUCGUUUGGUUGGAGAGCAAGAGAGGAUAUAGAUAGCCAGAUGCCUGGGAAUAUUCGGCUAAAAGCUGGCUGAGGAAAGUCGCGAGAUUCUCGCGGAUGAGGGCAGCCACUCGCGUGCGAAUCGUUUUCCUUUUCCUUCUUCUGUCUUACCCCUCACCCGAGCGAACCUUGACAGCUCCCUCGCCCGAACAAAGAAGCGGCGGCGAUGAUUUGGAUCGGGGUGGCGGUACGAGUCAACAAGGACUCCGGUGCAUUUCAGGUCAGACGAAGACACCCGUAGCAUCGUGCCAGUGAAGAAAAUAGUUGUAACUUGUCUAUGAUGUUGGACUAUAGUGUUGAGUGUUGGAUUAUGAAGUUCAACUUUAAUUCUAUUCACAGCAAACAUACAAAUGCCUAUCCCUAGCCACCUCUUAUCCUCCCAACCAAACAAUAAGAUGUGGUCAUCCAACUCACCCAAUCCCUCACAACCAAACGGCAUAAAUUGGCUAUCCCCAACCACCUGGUUAAGGAUAUCCUCAGCCAAGUCAUUCUCGCCCACGAACCAAACGCCAGCUUCGUGUUCAAUCUGGCAAUUACUCCGGCGAAUCACACAUCUCGUUUUGUAUAUGCAUAUGCGAUGUAUAAUAUGUUUUUUAUGUGUACUUAUUUAUAGUACAUAAAUUUAAGUGAAUGGCAGACAUGCACAUGUGAUGUGCUCCCUUCA